GACGAACGCUGGCGGCGUGCUUAACACAUGCAAGUCGAACGGAAAGGCCUGCUUUCCCUUGUGGAUUGCGGGUACUCGCGUGGCGAACGGGUGAGUAACACGUGAGUGAUCUGCCCCCAACUUGGGUAUAAGCCUGGGAAACUGGGUCUAAUUCCCGAUAGGACUGCAGGGUGGUGCCUGUGGUGGAAAACGAUUUUCUAGUGGUUGGGGAUGAGCUCGCGGCCUAUCAGCUUGUUGGUGGGGUAAUGGCCUACCAAGGCGGCGACGGGUAGCCGGCCUGGGGGGGCGGACCGCCGCAUUUGGACUGCGAUAUGGCCCCGACGCCUCCGGGAGGCAGCAGUCGGGAGUAUGGCGCAAUGGGCGGUAGCCUGAGGCCGCGACGCCGCGUGGGGGAUGCCGGCCUUCGGGUUGUAAACUCCUUGCGACCGCGAGGAAGCCACCUGGUUGGAAGGGUGGUGACGGUAGUGGUAGAAGAAGCACCGGCUAACUACGUG
rnacentral:rRNA from 1 species